AUAUCCCUCGAGUCGACCAUGUAGCAGCAGCACUCAUUUCCGUCCAACGACUACUACCACUGUUGAAGUGCUACGUCUACCCAAUUCGCUCCCAUUUCGUGACUCCUUUACACUUAACAGCUUAAGUCUCUCAGGAUGCGGAAAUAGCAUGUAAGAAACUGUCAGUAAUUCCACUCCCGACACAAAGAUGUUUCCAAAUACUCAAGUUGUUGAUGAACCGUUGGAGAGAAAUAGUAGGCAAGCCACAAUGGAACCAAAGAACAUCAUUCACGCAUUUGCAGAAGUGCAAUUAUUGAGGGACAAAACUACAGUCGGAGACAGUGAAAACGAUAAAAGUUUUAAGUUGGGCAACAAUGACACAGUAAAAAAUCCGGGAGAUAUAUCCAUGACUGCUUCUCAAAGUUCUAUAUUUGGCAACAGCAGUUCAAUAAAUAGUUCAAGAGACUAUGAAAGUCUCAAUAAUUUUUUCAAUUUGGCAACAGUGAUGCAGCAAAGAACACAGGAGUUCAAUCCAAGAGUGUCUCUGAAAGUUUCAAGUUUGGCAACGGUGAUGCAGCAAAGAACCUAGGAGUUCAAUCCAAGAGUGUCGCUGAAAGUUUUAAGUUUGGCAACAGUGAUACAGCAAAGAACCCAAAAGUUCAAUCCAAUAGUGUCUCUGAAAGUUUUAAGUUUGGCAACAGUGAUGCAGCAAAGAACCCAGAAGUUCAAUCCAAGAGUGUCUCUGAAAGUUUAAAGUUUGGCAACAAUGAUGCAGCAAAGAACCCAGAAGUUCAAUCCAAGAGUGUCUCUGAAAGUUUUAAGUUUGGCAACAGUGAUGCAGCAAAGAACCCAGAAGUUCAAUCCAAGAGUGUCUCUGAAAGUUUUAAGUUUGGCAACAGUGAUACAGCAAAGAUCACAGAAGUUUUAUCCAAGAGUGUCUCUGAAUUUUUUAAGUUUCUCAACAGUGAUGCAGCAAAGAACCCAGAAGUUCAGUCCAAGAGUAUCUCUGAAAGUUUUAAGUUUGGCAACAGUGAUGCAGCAAAGAACCCAGAAUUUCAGUCCAAG